UACGUAGGUGACAAGCGUUGUCCGGAUUUACUGGGCGUAAAGAGCGCGCAGGCGGUCGAUCAAGUCGAGUGUGAAAGCCCCCGGCUCAACUGGGGAGGGUCAUUCGAUACUGAUCGACUCGAAGGCAGGAGAGGGUAGUGGAAUUCCCGGUGUAGUGGUGAAAUGCGUAGAUAUCGGGAGGAACACCAGUGGCGAAGGCGACUACCUGGCCUGUUCUUGACGCUGAGGCGCGAAAGCUAGGGGAGCAAACGGGAUUAAGAUACCCUG
rnacentral:rRNA from 1 species